AUUGAACGCUGGCGGCAGGCCUAACACAUGCAAGUCGAGCGCGAAAGCCCUUCGGGGCGAGUAGAGCGGCGGACGGGUGAGUAACGCGUAGGAAUCUACCUGGUAGUGGGGGACAACUUGGGGAAACCCAAGCUAAUACCGCAUACGCCCUACGGGGGAAAGCGGGGGACCUUCGGGCCUCGCGCUAUCAGAUGAGCCUGCGUAGGAUUAGCUUGUUGGUGAGGUAAAGGCUCACCAAGGCGACGAUCCUUAGCUGGUCUGAGAGGAUGAUCAGCCACACUGGAACUGAGACACGGUCCAGACUCCUACGGGAGGCAGCAGUGGGGAAUAUUGCGCAAUGGGCGAAAGCCUGACGCAGCCAUGCCGCGUGUGUGAAGAAGGCCUUCGGGUUGUAAAGCACUUUCAAUAGGGAAGAAAGGUUGCGUGUUAAUAGCACGUAGCUGUGACGUUACCUUUAGAAGAAGCACCGGCUAACUCCGUGCCAGCAGCCGCGGUAAUACGGAGGGUGCGAGCGUUAAUCGGAAUUACUGGGCGUAAAGCGCGCGUAGGCGGUUUGUUAAGUCGGAUGUGAAAGCCCCGGGCUCAACCUGGGAAUUGCAUACGAUACUGGCCGAC
rnacentral:rRNA from 1 species